AAGCUUCAUGCCCUCUUUGUACAGCGGUAUCACUCUAAAGUUAUUUUAUAUAAUUUGGUUGGAUGUGAUAUCCAGCACUAUUUUUGUUUGGAGGAGCAGAGAUUGAAAGCCUAGCUUUUACACCGGUUUGAGUCGGUCCCUUCGUAUUUUUUUCAGUCGGGGUUGAUAUAGAAGUGUGUGAACAAUU
rnacentral:snoRNA from 20 species